rnacentral:lncRNA from 1 species
UGGACCUAUUGUCUAUACUCUUCGUUACACCAGCUAAUUAGUUAAACUCGGAUUGGUCAGAUGGUCAGAUCGAUCCAGACGGUAAUCAAGUAAAUGUGAUUUGCAGCUUGUGUGAAGACAAAAUUCAAAUACAACGAUUGGCUUGAACUUAAAGGUCAGAACAAAAAUCUAAACUCUACCCACCUAAUAUUCACCUAACUAGCUAGUCUACAUUUCAAACUUUGCAUCCCUAUAAAAAAAGGUUAACCUUAUAAUCACAUACCAUGCAACAAUCCAAUGGAGAAGACUUAUUAUUCAUCAGCACUAAAUGGCGAUGGAAGGAUAUAAGCUUCAAAGAUUCAACGAACAUAAAAGAUGAAUAAUCGAAUAGAACACUAGUCCAAACAAACGAUCUACCAGCAAGUACCGGUGAAAACAAAGAGCAAAAUAGCUACCAUGCACAUGAGGUACGUAGCUGUUUAUUCUGCUAACAACGUAAGGCCUUAUAAAUAUAUCCCAAAAGUCCCUUUUUCUAUUAGUAAUGUUUCCCUAUUGACGAUAACGUGGGCGGCUGAAUUACCGAGUGAUAAUAACGCGUCUGACGUAGGAGAUCGUGUUUUGUUUUGGUUAGGGAUGACAAAGUCUGCCUUUAUCCUCCUAACUAACACAAUUAGUUCAAACUUAAUUAAUUCAUUUCUCAUGUUCAGAUCAUGAAAAUCUGAUUUGACAACCCAAUCUUUCAGAUAUAUGAUAUAAUGUUUAAUAUAAGAAAAAAUAUUACAAAAUCAAAAAUACGAAGCCGAGUACAAAUACAUGUAUCUUAUUAUGGACUAUUUGUUUAAGUUAUAUAAAAGCGAAACAAGCUCAAGAGUUGACUUCUUACUGAUAAUGAGCGAUCCUGUUUCUUCCAGGUCCAUGUCUUUGAUAGUCUUCCCUUCAGGCACUGCCCAAUCAAAGAAGUAGAGCAAAUUUAGCAGUCCCAACUCUACGGUAGCUAUUCCCAUAUUCAUCCCGGGACAUAUUCUCCGACCAGAACCAAACGGCAAAAGCUCAAAGUUC